rnacentral:rRNA from 1 species
UACGUAGGGGGCUAGCGUUGUCCGGAAUCAUUGGGCGUAAAGAGCGCGUAGGCGGCCAGAUAAGUCCGGUGUGAAAGUCAAAGGCUCAACCUUUGAAUGCCGCUGGAAACUGUCUGGCUAGAGUCCGGAAGGGGCGAGUGGAAUUCCUGGUGUAGCGGUGAAAUGCGCAGAUAUCAGGAGGAACACCGGUGGCGAAGGCGGGUCUCUGGGCCGAUACUGACGCUGAGGAGCGAAAGCGUGGGGAGCGAACAGG